GACGAACGCUGGCGGCGUGCCUAACACAUGCAAGUCGAACGGGGAUUUUGUUUCGGCAGAAUCCUAGUGGCGAACGGGUGAGUAACGCGUAGGCAACCUGCCCUCCAGCCGGGGACAACACCCCGAAAGGGGUGCUAAUACCGGAUACGAAGGUAGCAUCGCAUGGUGUAACCUUGAAAGAUGGCCUCUGCAAGCAAGCUAUCGCUGGGGGAUGGGCCUGCGUCCGAUUAGCUGGUUGGUGGGGUAACGGCCUACCAAGGCGACGAUCGGUAGCCGGUCUGAGAGGAUGAACGGCCACAUUGGACUGAGACACGGCCCAG
rnacentral:rRNA from 1 species